AAGCGCUUGCAACCAGACUUGCACGCGGUUAAUCAUCCGGUGUUCUCACCGGUGCACUUGACCGCGUUCAGGCCAGCAUCGGUUCGGGUGGCAGGAUAAAGGCCUUGGGAAUGUAGCUUCUUUCGGGGAGUGUUAUAGCCCAGGGUGUCAUGCAGCCAGCCUGGACUGAGGUCCGCGCUUCGGCUAGGAUGCUGGCGUAAUGGCGGCAAGCGG
rnacentral:rRNA from 1 species